rnacentral:rRNA from 1 species
ACUCCUACGGGAGGCAGCAGUAGGGAAUCUUCCGCAAUGGACGAAAGUCUGACGGAGCAACGCCGCGUGAGUGAUGAAGGUCUUCGGAUCGUAAAACUCUGUUAUCAGGGAAGAACAAGUAUCGGAGUAACUGCCGGUACCUUGACGGUACCUGACCAGAAAGCCACGGCUAACUACGUGCCAGCAGCCGCGGUAAU